UGGGCCAACCCGAGAUGACGUGGCGAACGUUGUUGUGAGGUACGAUGCGAUGUGGUAAUGGGGGGAAGGGGGAGGGGAAAGGGGAAAAGAAGUUGACAGGUGUGAUUGCGGGGUUUGUGUGUGUGUGUCUGAGUGUUUAUGUGUGUGUGUAAGAUAAAGAGAGAGAGAGAGAGAGAGAGAGAGAGAGAGGCGCUCAGGGCCGAGGAGCUAGGUCGAGCCGAGUUCCGUGAGAAGAGGGAGGAGCAGUGUGUGAUGGCCGAUGGGUGUGUGAGUGUGGAGUGUGGAGUGUGUUUGUGGGAAGGCGGGAAGAGUUUUGCGAGGAUUUGGGUAAAUGCAAGAGGGGACCGAAGGGGGACGGCCGUGUAGCGGCGCUCGCGGAAGCUGUGUCGUAGGGGAAGCUGCAAGGCUGGGUCUGGGGGGAGGGUGGCUCUCGGUCGGUCGGUCGGUCGGUGUUUUGGCCGGUUGUUUUUCGGAACUUGGUCUUCUCGGUUGAAGUAGGCUUCAUCGGAAAUGGCGCCGGUGGUGUUUUUUCUCUGUUUUUCGCGGCUGGUAUAGAAUAUACUGAUAUGAUAGGGGUAUGACAUGGGCUGAAAAAAGGGUGGAAGAACCGCCGACCCUAGGCGGUUGUGUUUGGUGUGGGAUGCGCGAGGAGGCGCGGGGAGAACAGUGAGGCACAUGUAGCGCGUAGGGCAUGGGAGUUUGUGCGCGGUUGGAGGACAGGUUAGGGAUGCACGCGUCAGGUCCUGGGAUGUGAGACGAGUAGGGGCGCGUGCUUGCGAUGGCUGCUCGGUAGAGGUGGCCAGCAUGAUUUGGCGAUGCUUAGGCGAGGUAGGAAAACGUCUGAACGCCGACGGUGAUCCUUGUUUCCAAGGUGGGUUGGUAUGGGUUUUGGGAUGCCAGACGGUUUGCUUGUGAGGCCGGCCUUGUGGGGAGUCGUUCAGAUGGUUACUGACUGGUACUUCAUAAGGACCAGGGCGGACGGGCUUGCUGGCAGGAUGACAGUAUGCCGCGUACAAUAGCAUGCAAGAGAACACAUCUGUGAGACCGCUGCGCAUAUCGCACGAAACCUUGCUGGAAAGGCCCGUCGAGAGUACGACAGAUAAGUGCUGGACAUUGACAGCGACUUGAUCGUAGCCAGCGAACUCAGUUAGGGUAUAUAAUUAAUAAUAUGUUAUAUGUUAGUAGCUGAGAGGAAGACGAACGUUGUUGUAUGGGAAGAGGUCACAGGUGUUGCACGCCUAGCGAAAAUUUCAAUGCCUGUUUACUUGCAACCCGGGCCGUCGCCCACAGUUGCCGUUUUCUUUUCUUCUAUCUGCAGCUUAUAUCGCUGAAAUAUUUCUUUUCAUGGAAUUCUUCGCCGCAACGCAGUUGGUAGAUGACUUUGUGCUUCCAACUCAACCGGAUUUUGCCAAAACGGAAGUAGGAGUUGAGGACAAUGUCAUUUUACCCCCGCAGCAGGUUCGGGUUCUAGCUUGGUAUCUUCCAACUUGAGCCAUCGGUGGUGUCUUAGCCUUUUAAUCCUCCUGUCCUAGGUUGGAGUACUUAUUCUUGACACGGAACAAGAGACGGGGGUUGAGGAGUAUCCGUUGUUCCUCGGUGAGUCAAGCGACUGACCCUGGCAAUUAUUGCACAGCAGAAACCUGAAACUGGGAAGCUCCCCACCUGCACGCAGGUUGCAACGUGAUCGGACGUGAUGUGCCGCAUCUUCCAGGGGCCGAUAAAGUGCGGGAGGAGCGACUCAGGCAAUGGCGGAACGAGAAUCUGGAGCUUCACGUCGAGGGUAAGCCCUUUCAGCAGAGCGGCGUCCGUGUCAAAAGCGGCGUCAAAGAUGUGGGGUCUCAGAACCGCCGUAAAGCUGCGGACCUUUCCAUAGCAAAGGUGUUGGUGAACACCCCCGGCAUCGAGCGGCGUUAACUGAUACCACCGGGCAAGGCCUCGCCUGCCCGGCACCAAAUUUCCUGCCAAGGUUCCCACUCUCUACUCCUGCAGCUUUUGGCCCAGGGCAAGAUCCCGCUCUGUCCCCCGGCCCAUCCCUUCCGGGCUCCUCCUCACACAGCCUCCUAAGACAUAUCUCCCCUUUGCCUCGCCUCCGGAAUCCUCAUGAAAAGAACAUCGACCCGAUCCCCCGUGUUGCAUGUGCCUGUGUUAUCCCUCUCCUGCCUUUGCAGCCAUCUUUCUUUCGGAUCCCAGCAUUUCCAGUGCGCAUGCACACAUAUGUGAGUGGCCGUUUUCUUGAUGAGGGGAGAUUCGUCCGUCCGCG
rnacentral:lncRNA from 1 species